rnacentral:rRNA from 2 species
AAAUUGAAGAGUUUGAUCAUGGCUCAGAUUGAACGCUGGCGGCAGGCCUAACACAUGCAAGUCGAACGGUAACAGGAAGCAGCUUGCUGCUUUGCUGACGAGUGGCGGACGGGUGAGUAAUGUCUGGGAAGCUGCCUGAUGGAGGGGGAUAACUACUGGAAACGGUGGCUAAUACCGCAUAACGUCGCAAGACCAAAGAGGGGGACCUUCGGGCCUCUUGCCAUCAGAUGUGCCCAGAUGGGAUUAGCU